GGGCAGUGCACACAGCCCCCUGACCCCUCUGCCUAGGAAACGGAUAUGCCAGCUGCUUCUGGGAGUCACCUGAGAAAUAAUCACAAGAACCUGGAUGGAAAAGUUCCACUGUACUCAUCUGAAUUGAGAUCUACAGCUCCUCAAAUCAAGAGGACACGAUCAGUGAAAACUUCACACAGCUGCUGCAACCUUGAGGGUUCCCCCUCCACACCCACACCCGAGCCAGAUAAGGAGAAAAAAAGAUGAUUUGGGAUGACAUGUUCAGCUGGAUCUUGCAAGGCAGUACUGCAUCAGACCGUGAGCAAGGGGCCUGGAAGGUGAACACUGCAGACAGCCUGGAGAAGGAAAGAGCAAACAGGAGUCCCAGCAGGAAAAGAGGAAGAUGCACGAGAACAUAAUGUGGCUUCUCCAGCAGCAACAUAGAAGCUGCAAACUCUUGUGAACCUAUAGGGUCAACAAUCUCGGGCUUGCCUACCUUUGCAGUUCAUGGAGAACUCAAUUACAGCACCACCCUCAACAUUCCACAUCCCAACCCCUGCUACCACUCCACUCCAGAGGACAUUACAGACAACCACAGCUUCACAUACGCCGACUUGUGAAAGCUACAGUUGCUGUAUGUGUGGGUAAAAUGGAUAUGAAUUUU